CCCAACAGACACAGAUUUUGAAUCUGGUAUAGAUUUGCAUGAGAGGGAAGCUGCUAUAAAUGUGAAGUGUCUUGCAGAGGACCCUGGGUCUUGUCAGCAUCGGAGCAUUGAUCCAGACAGGCAGAAGCCCAGCUCCACCUCUCCCCUAUCUAACUCAUCUGGCCAGUGAAGUUAAAGGGAGCAACUAGUUGGACCUUUCUGGUGCCAGACCUGAGACACCUGGGGUCUGACUGUCAGAGGGCUGGAGCCCACAACCCCAGCUGAAGUCAGUGGGAGCUGGGAGCACACCAUCAAGUGACACGAAAGCAGAAGCUGCUUUUGGAAAUGUUGCCCUAAGCACUUGUCUUUAACCUUUUUCUUGGAGGUCAGUGAUUCCCACCCCUGCCCUCAGAGAAUGGAACAUUCCAUCAGGUGGCACACUGCUGAGAAUUCCUGCGGGAGAGAAGCCAACGGUUUAUCAUGAAAACGCCAAGAGACCUUUAAGUGCAAUGUCAGCAUCCAAUGCAGUUCGUCAUUCAUUGGCUGGAAGCACUUGGCAUUUCUCUCCAAGAAUCUGGCUCUUUUUUUAAAGUCUGGCCCAUCAACUAGAUUGUGCUAAUUCUAAUAUUCCUUGAUUAUAAACCCAUUAACUUGCAGUGCCGUGUCUAGACAGGGUGAGCUGCCAUGGCCAGGCUCACCAGAGUUUGUCCCUGGAGAGCUCAGAAUGAGGCUGAACAUCUCACCCAAUUGCAGUUACCUGAAACAUUGUGCUUGUGUUUCAGCCAAGAGGACCCAACAAGAUCGCUGUAGGGUCUGAUACCCCACUGGGUCCCAAUUCCUGAAGUGACAAACAGCAGGGACCUGAACUCAGCCAGAGCUGCUGGGUAAGCACGAUGGACACACAGGUACCGCAGCCCGGGGCCCUGUCUGAGAGUGGGAGAUUCACAGGAUUCCUGCCGAGGAGGGUAAAAGCACAAGGACUGACACCCGAAAGGCUGCACUCAGAGACCAGCGAGCCACGUACCCGGGACAGAGGUGUUUUUAAUUUACUGGGGUCUAUGUUAGUGUAACAGAUAUAUUGUGCGCAGAUGAGGGUUAGGAAGAAAGGCAGGAAGUGAUACAUUAAUAGGGAAGACAAAGCAGGGGGAACAAGGGACAUAGAAGGGAGGGAGCUAGGAGGGACUGAGAUCCCAAUCCACUCCCACGGGAAUAUCUAGAAACCACCCCCAUUUAUCUCAGUGGGAGUCAGUGGGUUGCCAUCUCCGUAUGCCAGCCAUGCACUGCAUGCUCCAGGGCUGGCGGUGCCCAUGGGAAGGUUCCAUCCAACCCCCAAAUGCACAUGGAGAACGGCAACACAACGCCGUUGUGAUGGGUUGUAUUAACCCCACACUGGAUAACCAGGGGCUAACAGGAGCCCGAGCCCCUUUAGGCUGUGAGGUGGCACCUGGAGGGUGUUAUGCACCACUGGUGAUCAGACCCAGCUAGGGACUUCCCCUCUUGGGCCAAAGGCAAAGAGAGGCCUGGAGCCAGCACUGGAGGGCCCAGAGCCAGGAGGAGGCCUGGGAGACUGGGGGCAGUGAAGCCUGCGGCCAGAGGUGAGUUGCCUCAGGCCAGGAGGAAGCCAGAGACAGUGUUGGUAAAGCCUAGGGGGUGUUUGGACUGGAGUUUGAGGGGCUGCAGGGAGAGGGGGAAGACCUCGGCAGUCCCUCUCCUGGCAGUAAAGAGUGUCGAGACCUAAGGGGAACAGGAAGGCUCCUGCAGGGUAAAGAGGAAAUUGGUUUAAUUUUGUUCUUUUGGUUUAGGAUUGAGCUGGGGGAUUCCACGGGGGAGCCCUGCGAGCCUGGACCUGAAUGAAGGAUGAGCCAGGAGAGGCUGUGCGGACUGGAAAAAGGCUGUGAUAGGAGGAUAUCAAUGAAGACGGCAGUAAGGAGUCUGAUGGAACAGACCUUGGCUGCUGCUCAGAGGAUCCCUGGACUGGAACCCAGUUUAGGGGGAGGGUUUGGGUUUCCUACCAGCCACUGCAGAAGGUGCCUGAUUAGACAAACACCUGUCUGGGGUGGUCUCGGUGCUCUUGGUCCAGCCUCAACACAAGGCUGUACAAGAUGACCUCUCAUGUCCCUUCCAGCCCUACAGGUCUAUGGCUGCCUGCAUAGUCUUGAGCAGAAACACAAGAAAACAUAGUGUUUCACUGGCAAAGCUCAAGA